rnacentral:lncRNA from 1 species
CUACUAGCAGUCUCAUUGCAGGGAGUUCAUAAACGAAAAGAGACGAUAACGAAGCACAAGAACGCUACUGCCCAGUUGGGUUCCGGUCCUUCCAUGAGGUUGUCCCACUUGCUGUCAUCUUGAAUCCGCCGUCGGUCCUCUCUCAGAAGCAGGCGUCCAGGAGGCAGCAGCAGCAGAGGGCAGCCAAGCUGUUCAGGCACGAGGAAAAUCAACAUCAGAUAAGAUCAAACGAAAGCAAGCAUAUUCCGGUUCUAGAAUAUGCGUUACUGAAAUGUAAAGUCACCAUGGUCCAUAGCUUUAACCCAUAGCUGUAAUAUACUUGUUCAAAAUGCCCAGCCAAUGUUUUCGAAAAAAAAAAUGCCCAGCCAUCCAUUGACAUAUUCCGGUUUCCAAUUGUGAUAUUGUAAGUACAACGCUAGUGCUAGAGCAUCUAUCAUAUCUCGUUGGUAUUAGCGCGUCAACGGAAAGAAAUAUACUAUGUUUUUUUUAAAAAAAAUGAGAGAAAUAUUAUCCCAUCCCAAGCGACCUCACCCCGAAGGAAUCUGAAAAUCCCAGGGCUUUCACACUGACAACUACCCCUACUUCUCUGUGGAAGUGCAGCAAGAAUGGACCUGCGGAGACUCGGAAGCCCCACCGCACGUCUCAGAUCGGACGGUCCAGGCAGCACGAGGGAGAAGACAAGCCUCGGCCCCAUGGAAUACGUGUGCGCGUUUGCGUGCAGCGACCGACACGUCACCAAGGACACGAGGCAGGCGGCUACCUUUUCCAAGGGUAGGGUGGUUCACGCGUCAAGUCACGGCCCCACACACCGCGGCGAACGUGCGCACGCACGAGCAUGGCGGCCACCGCCAUCACCGGCCGCGCCGGCGCUGGCAGAUCUGACCCGUAAUCUGAACGAAGUCGCCAACCCUCUAAACUAGCCCUAAACUUUUGACCUAAUCGGGCAAGGAAAUUCCAGAGACAUCCAAUCUAGUAUCAAGUAGCAGCACACGAGCAUGCGCAGCACAAAAGUGGAAGGGACACGAGGAGGAGGGAAUCAGGAACGUACCAUCCCUCCAUGAAGGAAGGCCCGCUGCUCUGCUGCUGCCGGGGAGGCUGCUGCGCGUACGGCGGCGGGUAGCCCUGCUGCGGGUAGCCCUGCGCCGGCGGGGGGUAGCCGGCCGGCGGGUACCCCGGCGGCGGGUAGCCGUCCUUCCCCGGGUAGCCUGGAAAAAUCAAGAUCCAAACGCCAGGGAUUUUAGCCUCACGAAUCACGAAAGUAACAAAGGGAACACAAAAGAGGUGAAGCAAACAGAAUCCAGUAAGGAGACGGGAAGAGAAGCCGCCGCCGCACCUUGCUGCGGCGGGACGCCGACGGGGGGCUGCUGGCCGUAGUAGCUCAUCUCCCUCUUCUUCUUCGGUUCUUCCUUGCGAUCGGACGCGGAGCAGAGGCAGGGUCAGGGGAGCUUUCGCUGGUUCGUUCGGUUUGGGUGGGGUUGUGGUUUGGGCGAGAGCGAGACGGGGGUGGAC